AUGGCUCAGGAUGAACGCUAGCUACAGGCUUAACACAUGCAAGUCGAGGGGCAGCAUUGGAGUAGCAAUACUCAGAUGGCGACCGGCGCACGGGUGAGUAACACGUAUCCAACCUGCCGCUUACUCGGGGAUAGCCUUUCGAAAGAAAGAUUAAUACCCGAUGGUAUAAAGAGUUCGCAUGUUCUCCUUAUUAAAGAAUUUCGGUAAGCGAUGGGGAUGCGUUCCAUUAGAUAGUUGGCGGGGUAACGGCCCACCAAGUCUACGAUGGAUAGGGGUUCUGAGAGGAAGGUCCCCCACAUUGGAACUGAGACACGGUCCAAACUCCUACGGGAGGCAGCAGUGAGGAAUAUUGGUCAAUGGACGAGAGUCUGAACCAGCCAAAAGUAGCGUGAAGGAUGACUGCCCUAUGGGUUGUAAACUUCUUUUAUAAGGGAAUAAAGUGAGGGACGUGUCCCUUUUUGUAUGUACCUUAUGAAUAAGGAUCGGCUAACUCCGUGCCAGCAGCCGC
rnacentral:rRNA from 1 species